UGGAAUUACCCUUUCACUGGUGCUGAACUGUGCAUCUGUCAUGAAGAAUAUUUUGUGUGUAUCAAUAGUAACUGCAAUGUUUAUGCUGCAGAAUAAGGCUGUGGAUCAAACCAAAGAGGAGCAG